CCCCAUGCUGUUGCUAGGAGACCGGAGGGCCAUACUUCCAUCAUCUCCAUACUUGCUGGGAGAUUGAGUAAUUGGUGUCUGCAUGUGCGUGUGCUGCUUCCCAAAAUAUCUCUUUAAAAAGACGUGAGAGGGAUGCGGAGCCAGUAGUUGCAGGGAGCCAGUGAAGUAUACAGCUGCGACUCAUAUCUUUAGAGUCUCUGGAAAUUUGGAUGCCUGAGGGGUAGAGACAAGAUUUCUGAAGAAGAAAAUUCUCACUGAAGAUGCACCAACGGAACAGAAAGGACAAAACAUGAAGGAAAACAUAUAUGUGCCGCUGAGAAGAGGUAUUCAGGAGGCAAAGUUUCCAAGGAGUUUGAGUUCUGGAUGGUCCACUGCCAACCCCGACCUUCCUGCACCUGCGCUACCCAGAGGCAGCUGGGCCUCUCUGAGGGUCGCGGGAAGGCCAGACCCUGAGAAACGCAACUGAAAUAUUGAGAAACAGGAGUGUGGGCGGACCUCUCUAACGGCGAGAAAGAGACAGCCACAGGCCCCCUGCCGAGCCACCCUAUUUUGUCCUCCCUCACCACUAUGAUUUCCAAAACACAAUGCACAGAGAGGCCAAGAGAGAGUGGCAUUUUUAAUUCACUUACUUCUGCUCUCAGGUCAUUCAGAUCCUCAUAGCUGCCCAGUCACAAUAGGAUGCCACAAUACACAUUUUUCUUGGGAGGUUUCUUAAGUCUGAUCUUCUAGAAAUCAUGGUGAUUCCAUCUUUUUGCUCUGUGUUGUCUGACAUGGUAGUAAAUUAUUAAAUAAAAUUUCAAAUUCUGUCCUUCA